rnacentral:rRNA from 2 species
UGGGGAAUUUUGCACAAUGGGGGAAACCCUGAUGCAGCGACGCCGCGUGAUUUAGAAGGCCUUCGGGUUGUAAAAAUCUUUUUUAUGGGAUGAAAAUGACAGUACCAUAAGAAUAAGGUCCGGCUAAAUACGUGCCAGCAGCCGCGGUAAUACGUAUGGACCGAGCGUUGUCCGGAAUCAUUGGGCGUAAAGGGUACGUAGGCGGCCCAGUAAGUUAGAAGUGAAAUAAUAUAGCUCAACUAUAUAAAGCUUUUAAAACUGCUAGGCUUGAGGGAUGGAAGGGAAAGUGGAAUUCCUAGUGUAGCGGUGAAAUGCGCAGAUAUUAGGAAGAAUACCGGUGGCGAAGGCGACUUUCUGGUCAUCAUCUGACGCUGAGGUACGAAAGCGUGGGUAGCAAACAGG